CACAGACACACACAUAUACCAUGACAGAUGACAGACACACACCCCAUGACAGACACACACACACCAUGACAGACACACACGCACCUUGACAGACACACACACACCUUGACAGACACAAACACACACACACCAUGACACAGAUAGACCAUGAUACAGACAGACACACACACACACCCACCAUGACACAGACAGACCAUGACACAGACAGACACACACACACCAUGACAGACACACACACACA